AACAAACGCUGGCGGCGUGUCUUAAGCAUGCAAGUCGAGCGGCAAGGGCAGCAAUGCCCCUAGAGCGGCGGACUGGUGAGUAACGCGUGGGUGAUCUACCUUGGGCAUGGGGAUAGCCAUUAGAAAUAGUGGGUAAUACCGAAUACGUUCGUUAUCGUGAGGGUAACGAGGAAAGGCGCUACGGCGCCGGCCUGAAGAUGAGCUUGCGUCCCAUUAGCUAGGUGGUGAGGUAACGGCCCACCAAGGCGAUGAUGGGUAGCCGGCGUGAGAGGGUGUACGGCCACACUGGGACUGAGAUACGGCCCAGACUACUACGGGAGGCAGCAGCUAAGAAUAUUCCGCAAUGGACGAAAGUCUGACGGAGCGACGCCGCGUGGAUGAAGAAGGCCGAAAGGUUGUAAAGUCCUUUUGCUGGGGAAGAAUAAGUCUGGGAGGGAAUGCCCGGAUGAUGACAUGAACCGGCGAAUAAGCCCCGGUUAACUACGUGCCAGCCGCCGCAGUAAAAC
rnacentral:rRNA from 1 species